AACGAACGCUGGCGGCAGGCUUAACACAUGCAAGUCGAACGCAUCGCAAGAUGAGUGGCAGACGGGUGAGUAACGCGUGGGAACGUACCCUUUACUACGGAAUAACUCAGGGAAACUUGUGCUAAUACCGUAUGUGCCCUUCGGGGAAAGAUUUAUCGGUAAAGGAUCGCCCGCGUUGGAUUAGCUAGUUGGUGGGGUAAAGGCCUACCAAGGCGACGAUCCAUAGCUGGUCUGAGAGUAUGAUCAGCCACAUUGGGACUGAGACACGGCCCAAAACUCCUACGGGGAGGCAGCAGUGGGAAUUAUUGGACAAUGGGCGCAAGCCUGAUCCAGCCAUGCCGCGUGAGUGAUGAAGGGCCCUAGGGUUGUAAAGCUCUUUCACCGGUGAAGAUAAUGACGGUAAACCGGAGAAGAAGCCCCGGCUAACUUCGUGCAGCAGCCGCGGUAAUACGAAGGGGGCUAGCGUUGUUCGGAAUUACUGGGCGUAAAGCGCACGUAGGCGGGUAUUUAAGUCAGGGGUUGAAAUCCCGGAGCUCAACUCCGGAACUGCCUUU
rnacentral:rRNA from 1 species